UACGGGGGGGGCAAGCGUUGUUCGGAAUUACUGGGCGUAAAGCGCACGUAGGCGGCUUUGUAAGUUAGAGGUGAAAGCCCGGGGCUCAACUCCGGAAUUGCCUUUAAGACUGCAUCGCUAGAAUUGUGGAGAGGUGAGUGGAAUUCCGAGUGUAGAGGUGAAAUUCGUAGAUAUUCGGAAGAACACCAGUGGCGAAGGCGACUCACUGGACACAUAUUGACGCUGAGGUGCGAAAGCGUGGGGAGCAAACAGG
rnacentral:rRNA from 1 species